CAUAAUUAUUAGUUUUUUAAUUGAAAGCUUGUAUGAAGGGUUGGACGAGAUAAAAUCUGUCUUUAUUUAAAUUACAAUAGAAUUUAACUUUUAAGUCAAAAGGCUUAAAUGUAUAUAAAAGACGAGAAGACCCUAUAGAUCUUUAUUUAAUUAAUAUUUUGAUAAUUUAAGAUUAUUUUAGUUUAAAGUUUUAAUUAAAUUUUAUUGGGGUAAUAUAGAGAUUAAAUAAAUUCUUUUUAUUUAUUACAUUGCUUUAUGAAUAUAUGAUCCAAUAUUAUUGAUUAUAAGAUUAAGUUACCUUAGGGAUAACAGCGUAAUUUUUUUGGAGAGCUCAUAUCGAUAAAAAAGUUUGCGACCUCGAUGUUGGAUUAAAAAUUAGCUUGGGUGCAGAAGCUCAAGAUUUUGGUCUGUUCGACCAUUAAAUUUUUACAUGAUCUGAGUUCAGACCGGCGUAAGCCAGGUCGGUUUCUAUCUUUAUUUAUCUAAAAUAUUUUAGUACGAAAGGACCAAAUAUUUAAUAUAAUUAUAUUUCUUUUUUGAAUAAUAUU
rnacentral:rRNA from 1 species